UACAGAGGUCUCAAGCGUUGUUCGGAUUCAUUGGGCGUAAAGGGUGCGUAGGUGGCGCCGUAAGUCGGGUGUGAAAUUUCGGAGCUUAACUCCGAAACUGCAUUCGAUACUGCGGUGCUUGAGGACUGGAGAGGAGACUGGAAUUCAUGGUGUAGCAGUGAAAUGCGUAGAGAUCAUGAGGAAGACCAGUGGCGAAGGCGGGUCUCUGGACAGUUCCUGACACUGAGGCUCGAAGGCCAGGGGAGCAAACGGG
rnacentral:rRNA from 1 species